GACGAACGCUGGCGGCGUGCUUAACACAUGCAAGUCGAACGGAAAGGCCCUGCUUUUGUGGGGUGCUCGAGUGGCGAACGGGUGAGUAACACGUGAGUAACCUGCCCUUGACUUUGGGAUAACUUCAGGAAACUGGGGCUAAUACCGGAUAGGAGCUCCUGCUGCAUGGUGGGGGUUGGAAAGUGUCGGCGGUUGGGGAUGGUCGCGCGGCUGAUCAGCUUGUUGGUGGGGUAGUGGCUUACCAAGGCUUUGACGGGUAGCCGACCUGAGAGGGUGACCGGCCACAAUGGGACUGAGGGACGGACCAGACUCCUACGGGAGGCAGCAGUGGGAAGUAUUGCAGAAUGGGCGGAAGUCUGAUGCAGCAACGCCGCGUGCGGGAUGAUGGCCUGCGGGUUGAAAACCGCUUUCGCCUGAGACGAAGCGAGAGUGACGGUAAUGGGUAAGGAAGCACCGGCUAACUACGUG
rnacentral:rRNA from 1 species